AAACAUGCAAGUCGAGCGCACCUUCGGGUGAGCGGCGGACGGGUGAGUAACGCGUGGGAACGUGCCCUUCUCUGCGGAAUAGCCACUGGAAACGGUGAGUAAUACCGCAUACGCCCUUCGGGGGAAAGAUUUAUCGGAGAAGGAUCGGCCCGCGUUAGAUUAGGUAGUUGGUGGGGUAAUGGCCUACCAAGCCUACGAUCUAUAGCUGGUUUGAGAGGAUGAUCAGCCACACUGGGACUGAGACACGGCCCAGACUCCUACGGGAGGCAGCAGUGGGGAAUCUUAGACAAUGGGCGCAAGCCUGAUCUAGCCAUGCCGCGUGAGUGAUGAAGGCCUUAGGGUCGUAAAGCUCUUUCGCUGGGGAAGAUAAUGACUGUACCCAGUAAAGAAACCCCGGCUAACUCCGUGCCAGCAGCCGCGGUAAUACGGAGGGGGUUAGCGUUGUUCGGAAUUACUGGGCGUAAAGCGCGCGUAGGCGGAUCAGAAAGUUGGGGGUGAAAUCCCGGGGCUCAACCUCGGAACUGCCUCCAAAACUCCUGGUCUUGAGUUCGAGAGAGGUGAGUGGAAUUCCGAGUGUAGAGGUGAAAUUCGUAGAUAUUCGGAGGAACACCAGUGGCGAAGGCGGCUCACUGGCUCGAUACUGACGCUGAGGUGCGAAAGUGUGGGGAGCAAACAGGAUUAGAUACCCUGGUAGUCCACACCGUAAACGAUGAAUGCCAGUCGUCGGCAAGCAUGCUUGUCGGUGACACACCUAACGGAUUAAGCAUUCCGCCUGGGGAGUACGGUCGCAAGAUUAAAAC
rnacentral:rRNA from 1 species